AGUGCAUUCUCUAGGAAGCAGAAACAGAAACUCACAGUGGAGGACCCAAUAAUCAAGAAUUUACUUACAGGAGUAGCUCUGCCCCGUAGCUCCUCACGCUUGCUCUUGCCACGGGGUUUUCAGAAGGAGCAAGUGCGUGGACUCGGCGUGGAGACGUGGUUCCCCUGGCAGGAGGCAGGGAGGGGAAGGCAGGCCACUGCCCCUCGCCCUCCUGAGCGACAGUCUGCACUUCACUGACACCGCUGUGACAAAUCAGGCUUUUCUCAAAACAGGAGGAAGAUUGUGAUCCCAUAAGAACGUGUCCUCACUGAGUGCGUUACUUAAAAGGAAUUCAAAGAAUGGCACUAAAGUUGCUGGACUUGGAAUUUGGAGAUGCAGCCUCGAGUCUCUUUUUCUGCAUAUCAGCUGUGUGUCUCCGGCCUCCUUGUCUGAAGUCCUCCCUCUGUGAAAGUGGCGGAAUAAUGAGUAUCAUGUGAAAAACGCAGAAACAUCAACAUUCUCAUAAGCUUUAAAUAAGACCCAAAAGCCUUAUAAUAUUCAAAGUGCCCAGGAUACCAUCCAAGAUUACUCAGCGUAUGAAGAACCAAGAAAAUCUCAGCUACGUGGGAAAAGGCACCCAGAAGAAGCAAUCCCAAGAUGGCACAGAUGUUGGAAAUAUCUGUCAAAGGCUUUAAAGAGACUAUGAUAAAAGGCUCCAAGAAGGAAUGUCGAACAUUGUUAAAACACAUGGAAAGAUACAAAAUCUUAACAAAGAAGUGAAGAUACAAAAAAGAAACAAAUGUAUAAGAAUCAUAUGAGGUCCUUUAAAAGUUCCUCAUUGAUCUGAUGGAAUUUUCACAUAAGACUGCUGUGUGAGAGAAGGGGGAAACAGAGAAGACUGUUUAUAAGUUUGCAACUGAAAAUAUGAGUGUGGAGGAGACUGGAGGGGCACUUAUCUGCAACUAAGAUUGGUUACUGGAGCACAGGAGGGGGAAAUCCCACAGCUUCAGUAAGGAAAAGCAUGAUUUCUUGUGUGUAAUGACCUGGCAGAGUUUUAUUGCAGAGAAUCCAGAAGCUCUAAAUUCUGGAAGGAACUGAUGGCAGAUUUGAAUGAUUGAUAAGAGAAUGUGGUUCCUGCUUCACCUGAGAAUGGCUGCUGUUGAUGGAAACAAGAAGGAAAUAGAUACUCUGUUACACUGAGCCAGUUUCUAACAUGGGGGGGAGGCUUUUCGGAAGUUUGAAUUGCAUGCUCUGGGGAACGAUGAAUCUGCCUGAAGACGACAUCAACUUUGACCUGACGUUCGCAACACUCAGUGCCCUCGCUUGGCCCUCCGCCCCCACUCACAGGUGGCUAUUUCAUAGAGAACGUUCUGGUAACUGUGCCUGAGGCACUUGCCGAGAUCUGCCUGGAUCCCCAUCCUGACCCCAGUGGGUUUCUCCUGGUGUCCGAGCUUCCAUCCAUGAUGCCCUUUCCUCUGAGCGUCAUCUGUGGGGGCGCAUUAGUGAAAAUGACCCGCUGAUGCGUGUGGCUUCUUUGUGCUGCUCUGGGAACAGAGACGCGGUGUGUGUAGCCCUCAGAAGAAGCACAUCCUGGUUUUACCCCCGGCAGAGUGCGUAUCUCCCAUUCCAUCUCCCUGCUGCAGGUUCAGAGGAAGAUCAAGGCACCAGGUUGCGGAAAGUGGCUGUUUCGUUCAGCAGGAGAUAAUUCACACACGGCUGUCUGGGAUGCUCACACCUAUUUUGAAGGCUCGCAUUUGAUCUGUUCCCCAGGAGCCAGCCAUCUGUGGGUUUUAAGGAGUGUGAUUAUUCAGACACUCAUUAUCAAAAAGCCAGAGGGCCUGUCUGACGCAGAGAGACGCCGGCUUCUGU